AAGAUCAUACUUCAAAGAAUCAUUUCUAUAGUAUGUAUCCCUAGCUUCACAUCCAAUAUGUGAAGUCAGCCUUAGCCACGAUGACGAGUGAUUGGAGCCCUUCCUGAGCGCGAUGCCGGUGCUCGAGACCUAUACACCCUUAUCGGUGAGGACUCGACACCAUUGAUGAACGUUUCCGUAACACCAUUAGUGUGUUUCGGGAGGGAAGGGAUCCGUUCCGAGUGGU